rnacentral:rRNA from 1 species
UGGGGAAUAUUGGACAAUGGGCGAAAGCCUGAUCCAGCCAUGCCGCGUGUGUGAAGAAGGUCUUCGGAUUGUAAAGCACUUUAAGCUGGGAGGAAGGGCAGUAAGCGAAUACCUUGCUGUUUUGACGUUACCGACAGAAUAAGCACCGGCUAACUCUGUGCCAGCAGCCGCGGUAAUACAGAGGGUGCAAGCGUUAAUCGGAAUUACUGGGCGUAAAGCGCGCGUAGGUGGUUCGUUAAGUUGAAUGUGAAAGCCCCGGGCUCAACCUGGGAACUGCAUCCAAAACUGGCGAGCUAGAGUAUGGCAGAGGGGGGUGGAAUUUCCUGUGUAGCGGUGGAAUGCGUAGAUAUAGGAAGGAACACCAGUGGCGAAGGCGACCACCUGGGCUCAUACUGACGCUGAGGUGCGAAAGCGUGGGGAGCAAACAGG